rnacentral:rRNA from 1 species
CCUACGGGUGGCAGCAGUGAGGAAUAUUGGUCAAUGGGCGGGAGCCUGAACCAGCCAAGUCGCGUGAGGGAAGACGGUCCUAUGGAUUGUAAACCUCUUUAGGCGGGGAGCAAUGCCGGGCACGCGUGCCCGGAGGGAGAGUACCCGCAGAAUAAGCAUCGGCUAACUCCGUGCCAGCAGCCGCGGUAAUACGGAGGAUGCGAGCGUUAUCCGGAUUUAUUGGGUUUAAAGGGUGCGUAGGCGGAUUUUUAAGUCAGCGGUAAAAUGUCCGGGCUCAACCCGGGCCGGCCGUUGAAACUGGGGAUCUUGAGUGGGCGAGAAGUAUGCGGAAUGUGUGGUGUAGCGGUGAAAUGCAUAGAUAUCACGCAGAACUCCGAUUGCGAAGGCAGCUUGCUGCAGCGGAACUGACGCUGAUGCUCGAAAGCGCGGGUAUCGAACAGGAUUAGAUACCCCAGUAGUC